AGACCCAAAACUCUGAAGCUUCUUGUGCAUAUUAUAAACAUGAUCUACAAUAUGGAAAUGUUGACUUUUACAAUACGGCUCAAGAAGGAGAAAGGAGAGAAUCUUUGGGAAAAAUGGGAUUAUUU